GAUGUCACCCUAUGGAGAAUGUCACCCUAAGGAGGAUGUCACCCCAUGGAGGUUGAUGUCACCCUAUGGAGGAUGUCACCCUAUGGAGGAGGUCACCCUAUGGAGGAUGUCACCUGGAAGUUGAUGUCACCGUAUGGAGGUGGAUGUCACCCUAUGGAGGAUGUCACCUGGAGGUGGAUGUCACCCUAAGGAGGAUGUCACCCUAUGGAGGAUGUCACCUGGAGGCAGAUGUCACCCUGCGAUGGAUGUCACCCCAUGGACGAUGUCACCCCAUGGUGGAUGUCACCCCAUGGAGGAUGUCAGUUGCUGGCUCGAUGUCACCUGGAGGAGAAUGUCACCCCAUGGCUCACUGGAUGUCACCCUAAUGGAUGUCACCCCAUUUGAUGUCACCCAUUCGGAUGUCACCCCAAUGGGUGUCACCCCAUUAGAUGUCACCCCACUGGAUGUCACCCCAUUUGAUGUCACCCCAUUCGAUGUCACCCCAUUGGACGUCACCCCACGGCUCAAUGGAUGUCACCCGAUUGGAUGUCACCCCAUUGGAUGUCACCCUAAUGGGUGUCACCCCAAUGAAUGUCACCCAUUCGGAUGUCACCCCAAUGGGUGUCACCCCAUUGGAUGUCACCUGCUGUGACCUCAGGGCACGCGUGGCCUUUGCUUUGUACCCGCCUGGGAUUAAUUACCCUUUGGAAAAGUGAUUAAAAAUGCUAAUUUACAUCUCUGCGAACCCCGAGUGGCGUUUUGGGGUCCCCAAACCCCAUUCCUAGACAGAACCGCCGAGUGGAUCCAUAACGCGCAUGCUGAUUGGCUACUUGCAGAGCACGCCUUCGCUCUCGGCCAAUCCCUGCGCGCCUUUCAGAACCGCGGGGGCGGGCCUACCCGUCUGGCCCCGCCCCUCUCGGGGGCGUGUAGCCAAUCAGGGCGGCCGUAGCAUUUUGACGUCUCAGCUCCGCCAAUGGCGUUGUGAGAAACAUAACGAGCAAGGCUUCCGUCCCUCCCUGGUGGUCUAGUGGUUAGGAUUCGGCGCUCUCACCGCCGCGGCCCGGGUUCGAUUCCCGGUCAGGGAAGAUUUGUUUUCUCUCUUUUCUCCCCAUUUUGACCCAUUUCUUCCUAUUUUUUUUUAUCCUUUGGGCCAUUUUCUUCCUCCUUUUUACCCUUUCCUCCUCUUUUUCUCCCUCUUUUCUCCCCAUUUUGACCCUUCCCCAUUUCCCCCUUUGUUUCCUCCUUUUCAGUUUUCCUCCUCCUUUCCAUUUCCCCCCCUUUUUCCUCCUCCUUUUGCAUUUUUUUCCUUUUUUUCUCCUAUUUUUUUCAGUUUUCCUCCUAUUUUUCCCCUUUUUCCCUCCUCAUUUCGCUCUUUUCCUCCUUUUUCUGUAUUCUUUUCCCCCUUUUCCUCCUAUUUUGCCCCAUUUCCCCCAUUUUUUCCUCCCCCUUUUUCCUCCCUGCCCUUCCCCAUUUUGCCCAUUUCUCCAUGUUUCCUCCUCAUUUUCACUUCAUUUCUUCUCUCUUUGAAACUUUUUCCUCUCUUAUCCCCCUUUUCACUCCUCCUCCCCCUCUUCCUCUUUUCCUUUUGACAUUUCUCUCCCAUUUCUCCCCUUCAUUUUGAUUUCCUCCCCCCUUUUUCCUCUCUCCUUUUU
ensembl:lncRNA